rnacentral:lncRNA from 10 species
AUAUAUUUACAUUUCCCAGGGUUUGGCCCAAUCAGACUGCUUGGCUCACAUAAAUGCCAGCACAUAGAUAUUUGCAAACAAUAAACAUAUGUUUAGCAUCCUAAACUCUACUUUGAAAUAAAACAUUAAGGAAGUCAUUAUUUAUGCAAUUAGUAAGCCCAUAAUUAACACUGAAAACAACAAUAAUUAACAUAAUUUUUACUAUGCAAUACUAAUUUUAAAAUACCUUUCACAACUCAAGGGAUCAGGCAGUUGUUCAAAUUUUUGUAGAAGGCCUGGCUUACACCAGCAUCCAUGACCAUCUUCCUUUCUUGGAAACUAGACCUUCAGAUCUUAUUAAUGUGUUUGAUAAUUUCAUCAUAAAGAGCAAAUACAAAUGCGAUGUGCAGACAUACUCUGCCAUAGUGCGAAAUCGUUCUUUGUAAAAGUUUGUUCAAUACAAACUUUAUAUGAAAAAAAAUUGCCCUUCAAGAAAAAAAAAAAAAGCCCUCAAAAGUUUUUCAUGGAAGCCCCUGGUAUUUGCAUUGGGAAAUAUGAUCCAGUUGAAACAUAUAUUUUUAAUUUUUUUGCUCAUUAACUUAAAAAAAGAUUACUGAAUGCCUAUUUUGUUACAGAUACUCUUCUCAGUGUGGGCCUAGCACCGUCCU